GCCUCAUCGAGAGCAAAUCAUUCUGAAGAUGGCUACGGAACGGGUUUGCGCUGCACAUACACGCUAAGAAAUUUUUACAUACUGAAACCGUAAAAAGUACAUACUUUGAAGUUCGUUCCAUUCUACGUGCGAUGAGUUUCGGAGACUCGGUGAAUUUUACAUACUUUCCCAGUUCUUUAUGUUUUUGAAGUUCCUCUCCGUUGAAAUAACUACAAAGUAUGUAAAAUUGGGGAUGACGGCGUUGUGCUUCUCACUCGCACCACCAGAAAUUCAGUCUGUGUUUUGCAUCCUACUUGCACGCACACAACAUUUCCAAAACUGCCGGUUAAGUCUUUCCGAAAACAUCAAGAUUUCUUCACUCCUCUUGGAAGGUUGUUGGUUUCCUCUAGGUCCCGAAGCGACAUGCCGAUUCCACAAUAGUUCCGGCCGCAACCAAGCAAACAAAAAAGCAUAAGAUUUACAACCUCACCGGCCAAUCCCGGGUCUCCUGGACACCCAGCCCCAGAAUCUACAGCCCAAUGACCAGCCCAAGCUUACCGAUGUCCUGAAGUGACCAACGCUUUAACGGUGGUUUCUGUUUUACCCAUCAUGCUACACACAAAAAAAAAGCAUAGUAAAAUUACUAAAUCCGUGGUUUAAAUGAACAACACGCAACCAUAUUUUUGAGUCAAUAAUGUUUUCUUCUUGAUAUUACCAUGCGCAUAGUAGUUUUACUUUGUGUUUAUUUUGGCUGCGCAUAGUAAUUUCGACUACGUUCAUAGUAAAAUUGUCAAUGAAAUCAUGGGUUUGUUUUUCAUUGUGCAUAGUAAAAUUGACAGGUUUCAUGAUAAAACUAUGAUAUGUUGUGAUAUAAAUGAGUACAUGUUGCUUGAAUUGAUAACCAAAUUACUAUGCACCAUGGUAUAACUAUAUUGAAGUACUAUAGAAUAAACACUCUUUGUGAUUU